rnacentral:rRNA from 1 species
GUGGGGAAUCUUAGACAAUGGGCGCAAGCCUGAUCUAGCCAUGCCGCGUGAGCGAUGAAGGCCUUAGGGUUGUAAAGCUCUUUCAGCUGGGAAGAUAAUGACGGUACCAGCAGAAGAAGCCCCGGCUAACUCCGUGCCAGCAGCCGCGGUAAUACGGAGGGGGCUAGCGUUGUUCGGAAUUACUGGGCGUAAAGCGCACGUAGGCGGAUCAGAAAGUCAGAGGUGAAAUCCCAGGGCUCAACCUUGGAACUGCCUUUGAAACUCCUGAUCUUGAGGUCGAGAGAGGUGAGUGGAAUUCCGAGUGUAGAGGUGAAAUUCGUAGAUAUACGGAGGAACACCAGUGGCGAAGGCGGCUCACUGGCUCGAUACUGACGCUGAGGUGCGAAAGCGUGGGGAGCAAACAGGAUUAGAAACCCGAGUAGUCC